UAUGCUAUACUAGAACAGCUGGUUUCCAGCCCUUGGUGCUUAGCUCUUUUCACCAAGCAUAUUUUAAGCGGUCGCCCCGCUAAAGGAGAAUCAUCACAUG
rnacentral:ncRNA from 2 species